UCUAACCUACGGGGGGCAGCAGUGAGGAAUAUUGGUCAAUGGGCGGAAGCCUGAACCAGCCAAGUCGCGUGAGGGAUUAAGGCCCUAUGGGUCGUAAACCUCUUUUGUCAGGGAGCAAGGUCGUCCACGUGUGGGCGUAUGGAGAGUACCUGAAGAAAAAGCAUCGGCUAACUCCGUGCCAGCAGCCGUGGUAAUACGGAGGAUGCGAGCGUUAUCCGGAUUUAUUGGGUUUAAAGGGUGCGCAGGCGGUCUGUUAAGUCAGCGGUCAAAGCCCGGGGCUCAACCCCGGCCCGCCGUUGAAACUG
rnacentral:rRNA from 1 species